rnacentral:lncRNA from 1 species
CAUAUACUCGACCACAAGCAUCUAAAAGGGACCUUUCAGUAGGAAGAUUUUAUAAAAAUUGCCAAACAACUUAUAAAAACAAAAACAAUUGUCCCUCAUUUCUAUAUACAAACAACAAUAAUUUAUGCAUCUUUUACAAUCAACUUAAUGCAAGUACCAUAUAAAAACUACAACAUUUCCACAUAUUUUUACCAAAAAAGUAAGACAAUUUACGAAGUACGAAUUACAACCUAUACACAUAUACCUUUCACCAAUAAUUUGACAUAGCCAAACUAGUAAGCCACAAAAUAUAUCAAGGAAAACAUAUGAGAAUUUUCAAGAAUAAGAAAUAAGAUCCAUGUAGAUAACGUCAAGUUACCUGAAUUGAUAGCGACUCCUCUAAGUUUAGAACCUGAAAAGCCAAUUCGGAUGAUAAAAAACUAGUUGUAGUAAAAGUUAGUCUGCUUCUUUUUUCUUUUACUAAAUUUCCAACAAAACUCAAAACAAAAUACCUGCAAAUAGAUUUUAAGAAACGCAGAUGCCUACCACCCCACCAAACAAAAAGUGAGCAAGCUGAAUAACAGAAGCCCGUGCUUGCAAAGUUGGCAUAAAAGAAAAAAGAAGUACACUAUCAUUUGCUACAACUUUGCUACAGAUGAUGGUAUUUGCAAAAGCACACAUCCAAAUGACACUCCAAAGACCAAUGCUAAACUGAAUAUCUGGAUGCAAUGGAAGCAAGACCAUUUUUUGAGACCAUUAUGUAUGUGAAGCUUAUGCAUUUUUCCAAAUUGUCAGAAUGGAUCCUUCGCACAGUCUUAUAAAAUUGUAUUAUGCAGCAAAUAACACUACUUAGUACUCAGUAGUAGACAAGCAUGUUAGAAAAUUUCAUCCAAGAAGGGCGACUAAUAACAAUUUAGCCAUAAAAUAAAAUUUAGGCCUUUCAUGUCUCAAUUAUUGGAAGGAAAGAGAACAUUUGGAUUUUCAAUUUUAGGUAGUAAUUAGGCAUGUCAAAGUCAUUGGAAGGAUACAAGUCAGAAUUAGGGGUGUCCCUGGUCAAUGAAGUAGAUGCAUUAGUGUUUGUAUAUUUGUUGGAAAUAUACAUGAGAGCUUGCACAAUUAUCCAGGUCGUGAGAGCUUAAGGAAUUCCAACACCAUUAGUGAUAUGAAUGAAUGACAAAUGUGUUUCUUACGUGAGAGCUUGCACAAUUUAUCAUUACUCCUAAAAAGAACGGUUGAACGGCAUAAUGAAAUGUUUCUGUUGGUUGUUCUUGUCAAGUAUUAGAAAUCCUGUUUCACACCACCAACAUUCUAAAAUCUCUAAAUUGGUUUUGGUUAUGUACUUCACUGUGACUCUUGGAGCAUUUGUAAGAUUUCAGUAUGUUUAAACAUUUACUUCUGUAAUUCUAUGCUAUGCUUUCAUUAAUUAAAUCUCCAUCAAUUCAAACCAAAAAACAAAAAAAAAGGAAAAACAGAUUAAAAGAAAAACUAAGAGAUUGAACAGUUGCAAAAGGCAGAACAGUUGCAAAGAGAAAAAAACAGACAAUUCCACAAACUGAACCAUCAGUUUCUCAUUCUCAACAUACCCCUCAACAACCAUUUUAGAUCACAAGAGCAAAACCAUCAACAAACCAACCAAAAAAGUGAAACCUCAAGAUAUAAACAACAAUUUUCUCUAACUCUCCAGCUUUUGAAUGUCUCUAUUCAAGUUUUUGAACUUUGUCGACCUCAACGAUGGAGCUUCGAAGGGUAUUUCUCAUUUUAAUUUCCUUCCAAACAGCAAUAAACUAAAUAUUUAAAACUUUGAAUAAACAUUUGGCUCAAAGAAUUGAAACCCAGCUUCUAAAACACCAAUUUUACUAAAACCCCAAAUUUUGAGCAAUCUUCUUUAAUUUUUUUAUCACAAAACUUUUGACGGAGUUCUCAAAUUUUCACCAAAUUUGAGAUAAAAGUUUUAAACCACGCUAAAUUUAAACAUCAAACAUAAAUUAGAACAAAACAUAAUGACUUCAUAGAAAUCCAUUUGUGUAUUUUGUAAGCUUUUCCAAAAACCCUUGAAUGGUAAAUCUAGAGACAGAGAAGUUUUAAGCCAUGGAGGAGAGAGAAUCAUGCAUACCUUUUGUGGUAGAGAACAACAAUAUACUUGGUCGAACAAUUCCUUCGCUGGAUGUGGGUUUGAAGAAGGCUUCAAUUCGCUGAGGAGGGUUUUAUCGCAUGAAGAUCAAGAAAGUCAGAAAGGAGUAAGAAGACCCUGUUUUGAUAUGUAUACUUUAAUUUUUGGUAUUACUUUUUAAUUAUAAAAAUGAUAGCAUUUGCGAGUUUAGUGAAAUAUUGGAGGGAAACUAAUUUGUCCUAAUA